GGGGUCGAUCUGGCUUCGACGUGGGUCACGAAACAGAGUAGUGCAUGCCGAGCACCAGUUCGCUCGUAAAUCCACUGGAAAACUACAAACGCCAACGACGAGCGUUUCGCUCUAGCCGCUUAAGCGGUGAGCCGCUGCACUGAUUUGUCUUUGGGUCAGGUAGGGCAACCUACAGCAGCGUCAUUUUCAAAGAAUCGGGUCUGAUCGGGUCACUAGUUCAAACCCUAAAUUAAAAGUGAAUCGCCAAGGAAGGGCCUGUCGGUUGGCAUGAUCCAAGGUUAAAACUCAAAAUGAACUGACUAAGCAUGUAGGGCUGCCUGCAGAGGGCUUGCGGACGGGGGUUCAAUUCCCCCCGACUCCACCA
rnacentral:tmRNA from 1 species